CGUACGCUUCUUUUUCCACCGGAGCUUGCUCCACCGGAAAAAGAAGAGUGGCGAACGGGUGAGUAACACGUGGGUAACCUGCCCAUCAGAAGGGGAUAACACUUGGAAACAGGUGCUAAUACCGUAUAACAAUCGAAACCGCAUGGUUUUGAUUUGAAAGGCGCUUUCGGGUGUCGCUGAUGGAUGGACCCGCGGUGCAUUAGCUAGUUGGUGAGGUAACGGCUCACCAAGGCCACGAUGCAUAGCCGACCUGAGAGGGUGAUCGGCCACAUUGGGACUGAGACACGGCCCAAACUCCUACGGGAGGCAGCAGUAGGGAAUCUUCGGCAAUGGACGAAAGUCUGACCGAGCAACGCCGCGUGAGUGAAGAAGGUUUUCGGAUCGUAAAACUCUGUUGUUAGAGAAGAACAAGGAUGAGAGUAACUGUUCAUCCCUUGACGGUAUCUAACCAGAAAGCCACGGCUAACUACGUGCCAGCAGCCGCGGUAAUACGUAGGUGGCAAGCGUUGUCCGGAUUUAUUGGGCGUAAAGCGAGCGCAGGCGGUUUCUUAAGUCUGAUGUGAAAGCCCCCGGCUCAACCGGGGAGGGUCAUUGGAAACUGGGAGACUUGAGUGCAGAAGAGGAGAGUGGAAUUCCAUGUGUAGCGGUGAAAUGCGUAGAUAUAUGGAGGAACACCAGUGGCGAAGGCGGCUCUCUGGUCUGUAACUGACGCUGAGGCUCGAAAGCGUGGGGAGCAAACAGGAUUAGAUACCCUGGUAGUCCACGCCGUAAACGAUGAGUGCUAAGUGUUGGAGGGUUUCCGCCCUUCAGUGCUGCAGCUAACGCAUUAAGCACUCCGCCUGGGGAGUACGACCGCAAGGUUGAAACUCAAAGGAAU
rnacentral:rRNA from 1 species